ensembl:lncRNA
UAUAUAUAUAUAUAUAUAUAUAUAUAUAUAUAUAUAUAUAUAUAUAUAUAUAUAUAUAUAUAUUGCUAAUUAACUUAUGAAAUGUAGGGGAAAAAACCUUUUAAGACUUGUUUUAAGGAUCACCAGGGAAUGGAGUCUCCAUUCUUCUGUAAAUGCUUGCUGCAGUGAAAACUUGUCGGCUGCACGAUUGAGCAGGCCUAGAAUGCCUGCCCACAGGGAUUACACAUAUGGACUGGGCAUUAAGGGCAGUACAACAUAUGGAAUGUUUCUGAGGUGACUCCGGCCCAGUUAGGAUGGAGGCAACACCCGCAGGAACGGCAGAGCGGAGUCUGCCAAGGGAAAGCCACGGACACACCAAGAGGGGAACCGUACCAUGGAAGAAUACACACAUUGGAUCACCGUGGGGAACACAACAUAUGAACGCCUAGCACAGGGGUCAACCAACAGGCGUACUUACAAGUGUUAGGCCUGGCACCGGACAGUCCGCCACGUCUGGCUGCCAAGGCUCUAUCACAUCCUUCGCCAGCAGGACUGCGAUUUCCACGCAUAAGACAGGAGCAUCGCUGGUCAGCACAGAGGUGAACUGAAUGCCCAUGAACUUGGGGGGACGUCGGGCAAACUGAAUCACAUAGCCAAGUCUGACAGUCCAAAUGAGCCAGCGAGACGGACUGGGAAGUGCUAGCCAGGCUCCCAGAAACCGUACAAGUAGGACCAGAGGAACCACAGAUUAGUGAUGUGUCGUUCGUGAAUGAAUCGUUCUUUUUGAACGAAUCUUUUAAGUGAACAAACCUUUCUCGUUCACGUAAUCCACUGACUCAUAUUUCUCGUUCACUGAAAUUCCUCCCUCCACAGCAACGCGGCGCUAUUAGCUGCGCAUGCGCAGCUCGGUGAACCGGGUAGAUCUGUGACCUGUUUCAUCCUUUCAAAGUAUUACUCAACCUCGAGCCAAUAGCCUUCGAGUAUGAGAUGUGACGGAGCAUGUGAUUUGUUGAAUGUAGUGAAUGAAUAUGCCCUUCACUGAAUGAGUUUCAUAUGAGUCUGAACGAGAUCGAGAGAUCUUGUCGUUCGUGAAUGAAAUGACUGAACUGGUAACCAUGUCGUUCGUGAACGAGUUGAAUGAUUUGGUACAUCUCAUUCAUGAAUGGAAUGACUGAACUGGUACAUGUCAUUCGUGAACGAGUUGAAUGUAUUGAUACAUCUCGUUCGUGAAUGAAAUUAACUGGUACAUAGCUUAUCUCGUUCGUGAACGAAAUGAAUGAGAGUAAACCGGGUCAGUCGGCCAUUUAGCAUGUCAAUCUCACAAAAUGCAAAGUGCAGUUAUAGGUACUGUGCACAUACACUUGUUUUCAUAUUUAGAAUACAGAACAUAACUCCACGUUUAAUCCCAGAUUUAUGAAUGUGAAUAUAUAAUAUAUGAACUGUCUGACCAAACAAUUAAAAUGUUAAUUAUUAUUUAUUGAAUGCGAUUAUGCACACAUUUUAAUAAGGCCAAAUCAGUUUUUGUAACAAGACAUAAGACAUAACACAUAAGACACUCUUUUACGCCACCUGCUGGCGUAUUUUGUGUAAUACAAAGAAAUGGUCACUGAAC